CCUACGGGAGGCAGCAGUGGGGAAUAUUGCACAAUGGGCGGAAGCCUGAUGCAGCGACGCCGCGUGAGGGAUGAAGGCCUUCGGGUUGUAAACCUCUUUCAGCAGGGACGAAGCGUGAGUGACGGUACCUGCAGAAGAAGCACUGGCUAACUACGUGCCAGCAGCCGCGGUAAUACGUAGGGUGCGAGCGUUGUCCGGAAUUACUGGGCGUAAAGAGUUCGUAGGCGGUUUGUCGCGUCGUUUGUGAAAACCCGGGGCUCAACUUCGGGCUUGCAGGCGAUACGGGCAGACUUGAGUGUUUCAGGGGAGACUGGAAUUCCUGGUGUAGCGGUGAAAUGCGCAGAUAUCAGGAGGAACACCGGUGGCGAAGGCGGGUCUCUGGGAAACAACUGACGCUGAGGAACGAAAGCGUGGGUAGCAAACAGGAUUAGAUACCCUGGUAGUCCACGCCGUAAACGGUGGGCGCUAGGUGUGGGUUCCUUCCACGGGAUCUGUGCCGUAGCUAACGCAUUAAGCGCCCGCCUGGGGAGUACGGCCGCAAGGCUAAAACUCAAAUGAAUUGACGG
rnacentral:rRNA from 1 species